CACGUAGGGCGCAAGCGUUGUCCGGAAUUAUUGGGCGUAAAGAGCUCGUAGGCGGUCUGUUGCGUCCGCUGUGAAAACUCGGGGCUUAACCCCGAGCCUGCAGUGGAUACGGGCAGACUAGAGGUAGGUAGGGGAGAAUGGAGUUCCCGGUGUAGCGGCGAAAUGCGCAGAUAUCGGGAGGAACACCGGUGGCGAAGGCGGUUCUCUGGGCCUUACCUGACGCUGAGGAGCGAAAGCGUGGGGAGCGAACAGG
rnacentral:rRNA from 1 species